rnacentral:rRNA from 1 species
GAUGAACGCUGGCGGCGUGCCUAAUACAUGCAAGUCGAGCGAACAGACGAGGAGCUUGCUCCUCUGACGUUAGCGGCGGACGGGUGAGUAACACGUGGAUAACCUACCUAUAAGACUGGGAUAACUUCGGGAAACCGGAGCUAAUACCGGAUAAUAUCUUGAACCGCAUGGUUCAAUAGUGAAAGACGGUUUUGCUGUCACUUAUAGAUGGAUCCGCGCCGCAUUAGCUAGUUGGUAAGGUAACGGCUUACCAAGGCAACGAUGCGUAGCCGACCUGAGAGGGUGAUCGGCCACACUGGAACUGAGACACGGUCCAGACGCCUACGGGAGGCAGCAGUAGGGAAUCUUCCGCAAUGGGCGAAAGCCUGACGGAGCAACGCGGCGUGAGUGAUGAAGGUCUUCGGAUCGUAAAACUCUGUUAUUAGGGAAGAACAAAUGUGUAAGUAACUAUGCACGUCUUGACGGUACCUAAUCAGAAAGCCACGGCUAACUACGUG